rnacentral:rRNA from 1 species
UUGAACGCUGGCGGCAUGCCUUACACAUGGCAAGUCGAACGGCAGGCACGGGAGCAAUCCUGGGUGGCGGAGUGGCGAACGGGUGAGUAAUAUAUCGGAACGUGGCCCAGUCGUGGGGGGAUAACGUAGCGAAAGCUACGCUAAUACCGCAUACGAUCUAUGGAUGAAAGCGGGGGAUCGCAAGACCUCGCGCGAUUGGAGCGGCCGAUAUCAGAUUAGGUAGUUGGUGAGGUAAAGGCUCACCAAGCCGACGAUCUGUAGCUGGUCUGAGAGGACGACCAGCCACACUGGGACUGAGACACGGCCCAGACUCCUACGGGAGGCAGCAGUGGGGAAUUUUGGACAAUGGGCGCAAGCCUGAUCCAGCAAUGCCGCGUGCAGGAUGAAGGCCUUCGGGUUGUAAACUGCUUUGUACGGAACGAAACGGUGAGCUCUAAUACAGUUUGCUAAUGACGGUACCGUAAGAAUAAGCACCGGCUAACUACGUG